GGGUUGUGAGGUUAAGCGACUAAGCGUACACGGUGGAUGCCCUGGCAGUCAGAGGCGAUGAAGGACGUGCUAAUCUGCGAUAAGCGUCGGUAAGGUGAUAUGAACCGUUAUAACCGGCGAUUUCCGAAUGGGGAAACCCAGUGUGUUUCGACACACUAUCAUUAACUGAAUCCAUAGGUUAAUGAGGCGAACCGGGGGAACUGAAACAUCUAAGUACCCCGAGGAAAAGAAAUCAACCGAGAUUCCCCCAGUAGCGGCGAGCGAACGGGGAGGAGCCCAGAGUCUGAAUCAGUGUGUGUGUUAGUGGAAGCGUCUGGAAAGGCGCGCGAUACAGGGUGACAGCCCCGUACACAAAAAUGCACAUACUGUGAGCUCGAUGAGUAGGGCGGGACACGUGGUAUCCUGUCUGAAUAUGGGGGGACCAUCCUCCAAGGCUAAAUACUCCUGACUGACCGAUAGUGAACCAGUACCGUGAGGGAAAGGCGAAAAGAACCCCGGCGAGGGGAGUGAAAAAGAACCUGAAACCGUGUACGUACAAGCAGUGGGAGCACGCUUAGGCGUGUGACUGCGUACCUUUUGUAUAAUGGGUCAGCGACUUAUAUUCUGUAGCAAGGUUAACCGAAUAGGGGAGCCGAAGGGAAACCGAGUCUUAACUGGGCGUUAAGUUGCAGGGUAUAGACCCGAAACCCGGUGAUCUAGCCAUGGGCAGGUUGAAGGUUGGGUAACACUAACUGGAGGACCGAACCGACUAAUGUUGAAAAAUUAGCGGAUGACUUGUGGCUGGGGGUGAAAGGCCAAUCAAACCGGGAGAUAGCUGGUUCUCCCCGAAAGCUAUUUAGGUAGCGCCUCGUGAAUUCAUCUCCGGGGGUAGAGCACUGUUUCGGCAAGGGGGUCAUCCCGACUUACCAACCCGAUGCAAACUGCGAAUACCGGAGAAUGUUAUCACGGGAGACACACGGCGGGUGCUAACGUCCGUCGUGAAGAGGGAAACAACCCAGACCGCCAGCUAAGGUCCCAAAGUCAUGGUUAAGUGGGAAACGAUGUGGGAAGGCCCAGACAGCCAGGAUGUUGGCUUAGAAGCAGCCAUCAUUUAAAGAAAGCGUAAUAGCUCACUGGUCGAGUCGGCCUGCGCGGAAGAUGUAACGGGGCUAAACCAUGCACCGAAGCUGCGGCAGCGACGCUUAUGCGUUGUUGGGUAGGGGAGCGUUCUGUAAGCCUGUGAAGGUGUGCUGUGAGGCAUGCUGGAGGUAUCAGAAGUGCGAAUGCUGACAUAAGUAACGAUAAAGCGGGUGAAAAGCCCGCUCGCCGGAAGACCAAGGGUUCCUGUCCAACGUUAAUCGGGGCAGGGUGAGUCGACCCCUAAGGCGAGGCCGAAAGGCGUAGUCGAUGGGAAACAGGUUAAUAUUCCUGUACUUGGUGUUACUGCGAAGGGGGGACGGAGAAGGCUAUGUUGGCCGGGCGACGGUUGUCCCGGUUUAAGCGUGUAGGCUGGUUUUCCAGGCAAAUCCGGAAAAUCAAGGCUGAGGCGUGAUGACGAGGCACUACGGUGCUGAAGCAACAAAUGCCCUGCUUCCAGGAAAAGCCUCUAAGCAUCAGGUAACAUCAAAUCGUACCCCAAACCGACACAGGUGGUCAGGUAGAGAAUACCAAGGCGCUUGAGAGAACUCGGGUGAAGGAACUAGGCAAAAUGGUGCCGUAACUUCGGGAGAAGGCACGCUGAUAUGUAGGUGAAGUCCCUUGCGGAUGGAGCUGAAAUCAGUCGAAGAUACCAGCUGGCUGCAACUGUUUAUUAAAAACACAGCACUGUGCAAACACGAAAGUGGACGUAUACGGUGUGACGCCUGCCCGGUGCCGGAAGGUUAAUUGAUGGGGUCAGCGCAAGCGAAGCUCUUGAUCGAAGCCCCGGUAAACGGCGGCCGUAACUAUAACGGUCCUAAGGUAGCGAAAUUCCUUGUCGGGUAAGUUCCGACCUGCACGAAUGGCGUAAUGAUGGCCAGGCUGUCUCCACCCGAGACUCAGUGAAAUUGAACUCGCUGUGAAGAUGCAGUGUACCCGCGGCAAGACGGAAAGACCCCGUGAACCUUUACUAUAGCUUGACACUGAACAUUGAGCCUUGAUGUGUAGGAUAGGUGGGAGGCUUUGAAGUGUGGACGCCAGUCUGCAUGGAGCCGACCUUGAAAUACCACCCUUUAAUGUUUGAUGUUCUAACGUGGACCCGUGAUCCGGGUUGCGGACAGUGUCUGGUGGGUAGUUUGACUGGGGCGGUCUCCUCCUAAAGAGUAACGGAGGAGCACGAAGGUUGGCUAAUCCUGGUCGGACAUCAGGAGGUUAGUGCAAUGGCAUAAGCCAGCUUGACUGCGAGCGUGACGGCGCGAGCAGGUGCGAAAGCAGGUCAUAGUGAUCCGGUGGUUCUGAAUGGAAGGGCCAUCGCUCAACGGAUAAAAGGUACUCCGGGGAUAACAGGCUGAUACCGCCCAAGAGUUCAUAUCGACGGCGGUGUUUGGCACCUCGAUGUCGGCUCAUCACAUCCUGGGGCUGAAGUAGGUCCCAAGGGUAUGGCUGUUCGCCAUUUAAAGUGGUACGCGAGCUGGGUUUAGAACGUCGUGAGACAGUUCGGUCCCUAUCUGCCGUGGGCGCUGGAGAACUGAGGGGGGCUGCUCCUAGUACGAGAGGACCGGAGUGGACGCAUCACUGGUGUUCGGGUUGUCAUGCCAAUGGCACUGCCCGGUAGCUAAAUGCGGAAGAGAUAAGUGCUGAAAGCAUCUAAGCACGAAACUUGCCCCGAGAUGAGUUCUCCCUGACCCUUUAAGGGUCCUGAAGGAACGUUGAAGACGACGACGUUGAUAGGCCGGGUGUGUAAGCGCAGCGAUGCGUUGAGCUAACCGGUACUAAUGAACCGUGAGGCUUAACCUUACAACGCCGAAGCUGUU
rnacentral:rRNA from 1 species